AUGUGGUGGAUUACUAUGAAGUUCUAGGCAUGCAGACAUGCCUUACCGGAGGAUAUUAAAAUGACAUAUCAGAAACUGGCACUGAAGUGGCACCAAGAUAAAAAUCCUGAGAAUAAAGCAGCAGAGAGAAAAUUCAAACAAGUAGCCGAGACGUGAGGUGCUGUCAGAUGCUAGAAAAUAAGAUAGCUUAAUUUAUAUUAAACCAGAAGGAGGAUUAAAUGGUAGAGGACGUGGCGGAAGUCAUUUUGACAAUCAUUUGAGUUUGUCAUCACAUUUCAUAACGUAGAUGAUGUCUUCAGGGAAUUUUUUGGUGGAAGAGACCCAUUUCCAUUUACCUACUUUGAAAAUCUAUUUGAGGACUUCUUUGGGAAUCAAAGGGGUCCCCAAGGGAGCAGAAGCUGAGGGAUGGGUUGUUUUUCUCAGCAUUCAGUAGAUUUCUAUACCUUGGAAGUGGAUUUUCUUCUUUUGAGACAGGAUUUACUUCAUUCUCGUCACUAGGUCACAGGGGACUCAUUCUCUUCCACAUCAUUUGGUGGUAGUGGGAUGGGCAACUUCAAAUGUGUAUCAACUUCUACUGAAAUGGUUAAUGGCAAAAAAAUUACUAAAAAAAGGAUUGUCAAGAAUGGUCAAGAAAGAGCAGAAGUUGAAGAAGAGGGCCAGUUAAAGUCCUUAACGAUACAUGGUGAGGAGCAGCAGCUGUGCUUGGAUAACCAG
rnacentral:lncRNA from 1 species